rnacentral:rRNA from 1 species
GGAGGUCCUGCCUGCCCAGUGACAACUAGUUAAACGGCCGCGGUAUUUUGACCGUGCUAAGGUAGCGCAAUCACUUGUCUUUUAAAUGAGGACCUGUAUGAAUGGCGGAACGAGGGCUUAACUGUCUCCUUUUCCUAGUCAAUGAAAUUGAUCUGCCCGUGCAGAAGCGGGUAUACUAAUACAAGACGAGAAGACCCUUUGGAGCUUAAGAUAAAAGGCCAACUAUGUCAAAGGCCCAAAUAAAACCAAGCCAAACAAAACAGCCAACUGGCCAAUAUCUUCGGUUGGGGCGACCGCGGGGGAAAACAAAGCCCCCACGUGGAACGGGGAAUAUACCCUAAAACCAAGAGAGACAUCUCUAAGUCACAGAACAUCUGACCAAAAGAUCCGGCCAACCAAGCCGAUCAACGGACCAAGUUACCCUAGGGAUAACAGCGCAAUCCCCUCCAAGAGUCCAUAUCGACAAGGGGGUUUACGACCUCGAUGUUGGAUCAGGACAUCCUAAUGGUGCAGCCGCUAUUAAGGA